rnacentral:rRNA from 1 species
CACGUCCUACGGGGGGCAGCAGUGAGGAAUAUUGGUCAAUGGGCGGAAGCCUGAACCAGCCAAGUCGCGUGAGGGAAGACGGCCCUACGGGUUGUAAACCUCUUUUGUCGGGGAGCAAAGCGAGUCACGUGUGACUCAUUGAGAGUACCCGAAGAAAAAGCAUCGGCUAACUCCGUGCCAGCAGCCGCGGUAAUACGGAGGAUGCGAGCGUUAUCCGGAUUUAUUGGGUUUAAAGGGUGCGCAGGCGGAGGUGCAAGUCAGCAGUCAAAUUGCGGGGCCCAACCCCGCACUGCCGUUGAAACUGG